UCCAACAGACAGCAUAUCGUUUACAACCCUCACCAGGCAUGCUCAACUCUUUAAAACUACAAAGUCCACUGCACUUACAACAAGGCUGGAAUUAAGUUUUUAAGUAAAUACAGCUCUCUGUACUACAUCUUCACAUUUAUUGGACGCAGAUCCUUACAAAACAAUCAUUUCAUAACUAAUAAUCCAACGGACUAUUCAGACACCAAUUCAACUCUAAAAAGACACACAAGUCUAAUGUCCAGGGGAAAAAUGGAUGUUGAAGAUUCCAACAGCCUGCAACAAGGGUACUCAAACAACCAGGUCCCAGUAUUUUAGAUUAAUUUAUUUCUCUGUUUAGAAUCAUUUGCAGGUAUACUGAGUUAUUGAAAAUGUACUAUCCUACAUCUGAAAGUGUUCUGCUAAUAAAGAAAAUUCAAAGCACAAUACC